rnacentral:pre_miRNA from 1 species
UUGAAGAAUUUGAAGACGUCAGCUUGCAAAUUUGAAGAAUUUGAAGACUUUGGCUUGCAAACUUGAUUGAUUUCUAGACCUCAAUU